GUUAAGCGACUAAGCGUACACGGUGGAUGCCCUGGCAGUCAGAGGCGAUGAAGGACGUGCUAAUCUGCGAUAAGCGUCGGUAAGGUGAUAUGAACCGUUAUAACCGGCGAUUUCCGAAUGGGGAAACCCAGUGUGUUUCGACACACUAUCAUUAACUGAAUCCAUAGGUUAAUGAGGCGAACCGGGGGAACUGAAACAUCUAAGUACCCCGAGGAAAAGAAAUCAACCGAGAUUCCCCCAGUAGCGGCGAGCGAACGGGGAGCAGCCCAGAGCCUGAAUCAGUGUGUGUGUUAGUGGAAGCGUCUGGAAAGGCGCGCGAUACAGGGUGACAGCCCCGUACACAAAAAUGCACAUGCUGUGAGCUCGAUGAGUAGGGCGGGACACGUGGUAUCCUGUCUGAAUAUGGGGGGACCAUCCUCCAAGGCUAAAUACUCCUGACUGACCGAUAGUGAACCAGUACCGUGAGGGAAAGGCGAAAAGAACCCCGGCGAGGGGAGUGAAAAAGAACCUGAAACCGUGUACGUACAAGCAGUGGGAGCACGCUUAGGCGUGUGACUGCGUACCUUUUGUAUAAUGGGUCAGCGACUUAUAUUCUGUAGCAAGGUUAACCGAAUAGGGGAGCCGAAGGGAAACCGAGUCUUAACUGGGCGUUAAGUUGCAGGGUAUAGACCCGAAACCCGGUGAUCUAGCCAUGGGCAGGUUGAAGGUUGGGUAACACUAACUGGAGGACCGAACCGACUAAUGUUGAAAAAUUAGCGGAUGACUUGUGGCUGGGGGUGAAAGGCCAAUCAAACCGGGAGAUAGCUGGUUCUCCCCGAAAGCUAUUUAGGUAGCGCCUCGUGAAUUCAUCUCCGGGGGUAGAGCACUGUUUCGGCAAGGGGGUCAUCCCGACUUACCAACCCGAUGCAAACUGCGAAUACCGGAGAAUGUUAUCACGGGAGACACACGGCGGGUGCUAACGUCCGUCGUGAAGAGGGAAACAACCCAGACCGCCAGCUAAGGUCCCAAAGUCAUGGUUAAGUGGGAAACGAUGUGGGAAGGCCCAGACAGCCAGGAUGUUGGCUUAGAAGCAGCCAUCAUUUAAAGAAAGCGUAAUAGCUCACUGGUCGAGUCGGCCUGCGCGGAAGAUGUAACGGGGCUAAACCAUGCACCGAAGCUGCGGCAGCGACGCUGAUGCGUUGUUGGGUAGGGGAGCGUUCUGUAAGCCUGCGAAGGUGUGCUGUGAGGCAUGCUGGAGGUAUCAGAAGUGCGAAUGCUGACAUAAGUAACGAUAAAGCGGGUGAAAAGCCCGCUCGCCGGAAGACCAAGGGUUCCUGUCCAACGUUAAUCGGGGCAGGGUGAGUCGACCCCUAAGGCGAGGCCGAAAGGCGUAGUCGAUGGGAAACAGGUUAAUAUUCCUGUACUUGGUGUUACUGCGAAGGGGGGACGGAGAAGGCUAUGUUGGCCGGGCGACGGUUGUCCCGGUUUAAGCGUGUAGGCUGGUUUUCCAGGCAAAUCCGGAAAAUCAAGGCUGAGGCGUGAUGACGAGGCACUACGGUGCUGAAGCAACAAAUGCCCUGCUUCCAGGAAAAGCCUCUAAGCAUCAGGUAACAUCAAAUCGUACCCCAAACCGACACAGGUGGUCAGGUAGAGAAUACCAAGGCGCUUGAGAGAACUCGGGUGAAGGAACUAGGCAAAAUGGUGCCGUAACUUCGGGAGAAGGCACGCUGAUAUGUAGGUGAAGUCCCUUGCGGAUGGAGCUGAAAUCAGUCGAAGAUACCAGCUGGCUGCAACUGUUUAUUAAAAACACAGCACUGUGCAAACACGAAAGUGGACGUAUACGGUGUGACGCCUGCCCGGUGCCGGAAGGUUAAUUGAUGGGGUCAGCGCAAGCGAAGCUCUUGAUCGAAGCCCCGGUAAACGGCGGCCGUAACUAUAACGGUCCUAAGGUAGCGAAAUUCCUUGUCGGGUAAGUUCCGACCUGCACGAAUGGCGUAAUGAUGGCCAGGCUGUCUCCACCCGAGACUCAGUGAAAUUGAACUCGCUGUGAAGAUGCAGUGUACCCGCGGCAAGACGGAAAGACCCCGUGAACCUUUACUAUAGCUUGACACUGAACAUUGAGCCUUGAUGUGUAGGAUAGGUGGGAGGCUUUGAAGUGUGGACGCCAGUCUGCAUGGAGCCGACCUUGAAAUACCACCCUUUAAUGUUUGAUGUUCUAACGUUGACCCGUAAUCCGGGUUGCGGACAGUGUCUGGUGGGUAGUUUGACUGGGGCGGUCUCCUCCUAAAGAGUAACGGAGGAGCACGAAGGUUGGCUAAUCCUGGUCGGACAUCAGGAGGUUAGUGCAAUGGCAUAAGCCAGCUUGACUGCGAGCGUGACGGCGCGAGCAGGUGCGAAAGCAGGUCAUAGUGAUCCGGUGGUUCUGAAUGGAAGGGCCAUCGCUCAACGGAUAAAAGGUACUCCGGGGAUAACAGGCUGAUACCGCCCAAGAGUUCAUAUCGACGGCGGUGUUUGGCACCUCGAUGUCGGCUCAUCACAUCCUGGGGCUGAAGUAGGUCCCAAGGGUAUGGCUGUUCGCCAUUUAAAGUGGUACGCGAGCUGGGUUUAGAACGUCGUGAGACAGUUCGGUCCCUAUCUGCCGUGGGCGCUGGAGAACUGAGGGGGGCUGCUCCUAGUACGAGAGGACCGGAGUGGACGCAUCACUGGUGUUCGGGUUGUCAUGCCAAUGGCACUGCCCGGUAGCUAAAUGCGGAAGAGAUAAGUGCUGAAAGCAUCUAAGCACGAAACUUGCCCCGAGAUGAGUUCUCCCUGACUCCUUGAGAGUCCUGAAGGAACGUUGAAGACGACGACGUUGAUAGGCCGGGUGUGUAAGCGCAGCGAUGCGUUGAGCUAACCGGUACUAAUGAACCGUGAGGCUUAACCU
rnacentral:rRNA from 1 species